UCUAUUUAAGUCCUGCUUUCCGCACUCGUCAUGCGCGGUGGGGAGUUAGCGCUAGCGGUCUGCCGGUUGGGAAGAACCGACCGCCAUGGCGAGCGUAGGGGACUCUUUCGUUGGGAGGAAGAAGAAGAGUUGCAGAGUUGAUCUUCAUAGCUAAAAUUGUACGCCUCUCUCCCACUAUUUCUUUAGGAGAAGGCUUCCUGUUGGUUGACUCUGGUUGCAACUUUAUGGGUGAUUGGUGGGAGCGUGCUUUCAGAGAUGAGGGCGAGAAGGAGGGAUGUCCUGCAAUUGGAGAAUAUGGAUCAGGUCACCCUGCGGGUGACUCGCUCAACGACCACUUUUCUGAUUGGUAUUAAAACAGGACGGUGGAAGCAAACACUAUGAGUCAUAAUGCACACGGAUGCGUGUGAGACUUUGUGUUUGUAACGUUUAGGGUGUCACCCGCGGAAUGUCCUUAUCCUCUCUUGUGGUUGAGUGCUCGCGCAUGGUGUCGACAUAUUUCAUUCCUCUCUUCUUUUUUGUCCGUUUAUUUCCUUGUCUCCGUUUAGUAGCUUUUCUAGAUUUGCAAAGUAGACGGCAGAGUGUCGUUUCUCCAUCCGCUUCUUUUGCUUGUCACAGGGAUUUUCAGUUCCUUGAUGACACGUUCCCUAGAAGCGAUAGUGAAUUAGUAGCUCCUCGUUCUAUCACUGUGAAGCGGCCUAAUUAUCAUGCUGCUUUCCGAUCGAUGGAGCUUUGAUAUAUCCCUAUUAGAUUAAUUUGAUUUUGGGUCUCCUUUCUCUCCUUUUGGUAUUUUUCUUAUGUCAAUGCUUCUUAAUCUGGUCAUUUAGAUCCUUCGGUAUCCAAUUGACUCGUUCCCUUGAAGCAAGAGUAAGGGCUUUAUUCUGCUUUUCUUCCUAUCUGAAUUUUUUAAUAUUUCAGAUGCCUCGGAGUGAGCUUACACUGCUUUUUGCUGUCAUUUUUUAUUUCAAAUCCUUGGCGGUCCGUUCACAUUAUUUUCUUUCUCCCAUUAAUUCCUUUUGAUGAUCAUGCACCGGUGAUGACCACUCAUAGACCUGUAAUGAUGGCGAAGAUGAUCGCAGUAAAUGAACAUCUAAGGGACUGAGGUGCAUGUUUGAUUGUUUUCCUUUUAGGUGUAUUUUUUGUUAAAUAUGAUCUUUCUUUGUUUUCCGAAAUCCACUGUAAACGGAUGUUUUUGAAUUUUAUUCAACGAAAACUUUUACGGAGAAAUAUGACGGCACCUUUGGAACAUCUUGGGUUGCUUCCUACGUGUUUGUCGCUGCUUGGGUACCGUCUUUUGUGGCUUAUUGAAGCGAAGCAAAGAGAGAAUGCUCCCCUCGCUAUCCACUUGCACCUCUAUGUGCAUUUGGACGUUGGGGUGCUACACAGUGGCUGAAAUAAUUUGAACCUGACUUAAUGUUCUAGAUAGUCUUGGUGAAUAAAGCGAUGACCUAGUGUGAAUCCUGUUCAUCGUAGUCUUAUGUUGAAACACUAUUUGAGGUGUUCAACCUGACGCCUUUACGUUCUUCUUAACAAAUCUUUCAACUAUGCGGCUGUUUAUUAGGUUUGACUUUGCUAGAUAUUUCAAACGAAGGUUGCUGCCUCGAUCUAUGCUAGAUUCUUGUUUCACGGAGCCUGAGUGGAUUGUCUUCUAUUUGUUGAGAAGAACGUGGCGGGGGCGGACUUGUUGUAUCUUCCCACUGCGGAUGCUUCGUUUUCUUUGUAUCUAAUGAGGAUUUCCUGUGCCUUCAUAGCUGAAGGCUGUAAGGUAGUUUGAUGCGAUAACUUUGUACCAUGACUAUAGUUUGUAACAGACAUGCUCCAAUGUAAAAAUCUCCAAUCUAUUUGCCAGAUUUAAUCAA